rnacentral:lncRNA from 1 species
AUAAAUACAAUCCCAUAAGGUUAUUAACACUUAUCUACAUCUCAACUAAAACCAAGUACACAGCUUCCCCUCUGACAACCCUUUGAAUUUAAGGUAGUGACUUCAAAACCUUAUUGGUUAAAGUUCCAAAAUCACUAGGAAGUCUCAAAAACACAUUACCAUUUUGAUGGGAUGAAUAUGAAACUAUAUAAGGUUGAAUUCUUCCAAACUUAUCAAUGAAAUGUAAUUUAGUUAUUAAAUCAAAUUCUAUUAAUAAUAUAAAAUACUGUAAAACAUGAGAUGAAUAGGAAAGACAGAAACCACCUCCAAUGAACUAGUUUAAUAAAAAGUUAGAAAAAAAAAAGAUGGUUCAAGCAUUUG